CCGCCCCCUGGAGGUGUAUCCAGUUGAUAUGGUAAAUAUCAAAAUGCCUGUGUUUGUAGCCAGCACUUUCAGCCAGAGGAUUUCGAAAUUGAAUUAAAGUCUCAACUGAUGGGGGUUGCCAUGUCGUCGAUCGUUGAAAAGUGAUGCUAUUCCAUAGAUUCCCCCCCCCCCCUUCAUUUCAAAGAGGAAGGCAUCUGAUCAGCCAACAUUGAAGCACAAAAUAAGUCAAGCUGAGAGUCCGAUCCCAUCAACAUCUGCAGAGGCAUCAAGCUCAGCACCAGCAACUAGUACGAACCCUGCUGCUGUUGACCUUGACACCAGCGUUGGUAGUACAGAGCCUGUAGACUCAUUGGAUGAAAGCUUUCAGCCUGGAAUAAACUCAAUCAUCUGACUUUGAAACAAGCCAGAACAGCAAAAGGAGACUUUAAGCACAAACAAAUAAUCUGCAAGAGGUCGAAGCAUUGGGUGGUAAAGAAAGGGUACGAGAGGCUUGUCCACCUGGCUGUGGCGUGCAGAAAAGACCUGCCGGUUGUCUACAAGGAGCCUGAAUUAUAGCUCCCCAAACCCAAUAUCCCUGCCAACAGUGCCAAAGCCUGCUAAACCAGCUGCCAUUACUCAACACAAGAAAAGGUUCACCUCCUGAAGAGCAUUCUGGAACCUGCCUGGAACAUUCAAGCAACACAACAUCCAUAUUUUGUAGUAUAAUAUAGAAUGCCUAGUAUGCUCACAACUACAUUGUGGUAUAGAUAUUGCUAGUUGUUGUACAUACAGCAUAUAUAAGUAUACUGUCAAGUGGGUAAAUGAUUCCAGCUGUAUCAGAAAAGUGUUGACUUCAACUUCUGGGUCAAUUAAUUGUGAUAUUCAUGAAAUGUAUUUGGAUAAACUAGCGAAUGUCUUACUGCACAAAACAUG